rnacentral:rRNA from 1 species
GACGGGGAGCACCACAACGGGUGGAGCUUGCGGUUUAAUUGGAUUCAACGCCGGAAAUCUUACCGGACCGACAGCAAUAUGAAGGCCAGGCUGAAGACUUUGCCGGAUUAGCUGAGAGGUGGUGCAUGGCCGUCGUCAGUUCGUACUGUGAAGCAUCCUGUUAAGUCAGGCAACGAGCGAGACCCACGCCCACAGUUGCCAGCGUACUCUCUGGAGUGACGGGUACACUGUGGGACCGCCGCUGCUAAAGCGGAGGAAGGAAUGGGCAACGGUAGGUCAGUAUGCCCCGAAUAUCCCGGGCUACACGCGAGCUACAAUGGUUGGUACAAUGGGUAUCUACCCCGAAAGGGGACGGGAAUCUCCUAAAACCAAUCUUAGUUCGGAUUGAGGGCUGCAACUCGCCCUCAUGAAGCUGGAAUCCGUAGUAAUCGCGUUUCAACAGAACGCGGUGAAUACGUCCCUGCUCCUU